rnacentral:rRNA from 1 species
GACCAGACUCCUACGGGAGGCAGCAGUAGGGAAUAUUGCUCAAUGGGGGAAACCCUGAAGCAGCAACGCCGCGUGAAGGAAGAAGGCUUUCGGGUUGUAAACUUCUUUUCUCAGGGACGAAGCAAGUGACGGUACCUGAGGAAUAAGCCACGGCUAACUACGUGCCAGCAGCCGCGGUAAUACGUAGGUGGCAAGCGUUGUCCGGAUUUACUGGGUGUAAAGGGCGUGUAGCCGGGCUGACAAGUCAGAUGUGAAAUCCGGGGGCUCAACCCCCGAACUGCAUUUGAAACUGUUGGUCUUGAGUAUCGGAGAGGCAGGCGGAAUUCCUAGUGUAGCGGUGAAAUGCGUAGAUAUUAGGAGGAACACCAGUGGCGAAGGCGGCCUGCUGGACGACAACUGACGGUGAGGCGCGAAAGCGUGGGGAGCAAACAGGAUUAGAUACCCCAGUAGGA